AGUGGGAGCACCUUCGGGUGUGACUGCGUACCUUUUGUAUAAUGGGUCAGCGACUUAUAUUCUGUAGCAAGGUUAACCGUAUAGGGGAGCCGCAGGGAAACCGAGUCUUAACUGGGCGUUAAGUUGCAGGGUAUAGACCCGAAACCCGGUGAUCUAGCCAUGGGCAGGUUGAAGGUUGGGUAACACUAACUGGAGGACCGAACCGACUAAUGUUGAAAAAUUAGCGGAUGACUUGUGGCUGGGGGUGAAAGGCCAAUCAAACCGGGAGAUAGCUGGUUCUCCCCGAAAGCUAUUUAGGUAGCGCCUCGUGAACUCAUCUUCGGGGGUAGAGCACUGUUUCGGCUAGGGGGUCAUCCCGACUUACCAACCCGAUGCAAACUACGAAUACCGAAGAAUGUUAUCACGGGAGACACACGGCGGGUGCUAACGUCCGUCGUGAAGAGGGAAACAACCCAGACCGCCAGCUAAGGUCCCAAAGUCAUGGUUAAGUGGGAAACGAUGUGGGAAGGCACAGACAGCCAGGAUGUUGGCUUAGAAGCAGCCAUCAUUUAAAGAAAGCGUAAUAGCUCACUGGUCGAGUCGGCCUGCGCGGAAGAUGUAACGGGGCUAAACCAUGCACCGAAGCUGCGGCAGCGACACUAUGUGUUGUUGGGUAGGGGAGCGUUCUGUAAGCCUGCGAAGGUGUGCUGUGAGGCAUGCUGGAGGUAUCAGAAGUGCGAAUGCUGACAUAAGUAACGAUAAAGCGGGUGAAAAGCCCGCUCGCCGGAAGACCAAGGGUUCCUGUCCAACGUUAAUCGGGGCAGGGUGAGUCGACCCCUAAGGCGAGGCCGAAAGGCGUAGUCGAUGGGAAACAGGUUAAUAUUCCUGUACUUGGUGUUACUGCGAAGGGGGGACGGAGAAGGCUAUGUUAGCCGGGCGACGGUUGUC
rnacentral:rRNA from 1 species